rnacentral:ncRNA from 1 species
UUUAUAGGCAAACCUGCUGAAAAGUAGGGACGCAAAGCCAAAAGGGGCUAAAGCCAGAAAGUUUGACCAAGUCAGCCGGUUGCCA